rnacentral:tRNA from 1 species
CCGACUGGGUCAUGGACGUCGUGACCGCCGCGGUCUACGGCGCGGUGGUGCUGAUGAUGCUGCCCCGGGCCCGGCACCCGGUGGUCUGGC